GUCAAGCAACUCACCUCAGGGGGGGUCCAUGGUUGUCACUGCGGGCGGACAUGCCUUGGUCCAUGACCAGGAAGAGUCCCAUGUGAUGUCUGAUGGGAAUGAUGCCAAUGACAACGCCAAGGUCACAGCAGGAAAGCGAGCAGACACUCAGAAUCUUACC
rnacentral:snRNA from 1 species